rnacentral:rRNA from 1 species
GACAUGGAUACAGGUGGUGCAUGGUUGUCGUCAGCUCGAGUCGUGAGAUGUUGGGUUAAGUCCCGCAUCGAGCGCAACCCUUAUUAUCAGUUGCCAGCAUUAAGUUGGGCACUCUGGUGAGACUGCCGGUGACAAACCGGAGGAAGGUGGGGAUGACGUCAAAUCAUCAUGCCCCUUAUGACCUGGGCUACACACGUGCUACAAUGGAUGGACAACG